CGGGGUAUAGCUCAGUGGUAGAGUGAGUGUUUAGCAUGCAUGAAGUCCUAGGUUCAAUCCCCCGUACCUCCA
rnacentral:tRNA from 1 species